UACAGGGGGUGCAAACGUUGCUCGGAAUUAUUGGGCGUAAAGCGCGCGUAGGCGGCUACUUAAGUCGGAUGUGAAAGCCCUUGGCUCAACUGAGGAAGUGCACCCGAAACUGAGUGGCUUGAGUACGAAAGAGGGUCGCGGAAUUCCCGGUGUAGAGGUGAAAUUCGUAGAUAUCGGGAAGAACACCCGUGGCGAAGGCGGCUCUCUGGAACGCAACUGACGCUGAGACGCGAAAGCGUGGGGAGCAAACAGG
rnacentral:rRNA from 1 species